rnacentral:rRNA from 1 species
AGGGGGCUAGCGUUGCUCGGAAUAACUGGGCGUAAAGCGCACGUAGGCGGCUUUUGAAGUCAGGGGUGAAAUCCUGGAGCUCAACUCCAGAACUGCCUUUGAUACUGGGAAGCUUGAGUCCGGGAGAGGUGAGUGGAACUCCGAGUGUAGAGGUGAAAUUCGUAGAUAUUCGGAAGAACACCAGUGGCGAAGGCGGCUCACUGGCCCGGUACUGACGCUGAGGUGCGAAAGCGUGGGGAGCAAACAGG